rnacentral:lncRNA from 1 species
ACAGAAGAAGUAAAAUUGCCACAAAGUGAAUUGCUUGCCUAGCAUGCUGCAGGAAAAUCUCUAAUGUAAAAUUGUGGCUUAUGAAUGAUUAUUUGUCGCUGAACUCCAGGACACUGCCCUGUGGAAACGACGGACAUCUAAACUUGUUUGCUGCUGCUUUAGGAUUCGCUGACUGUUAACGCGACGGCACCUCUGCUGCUUCUUAAAGGUCACGCUGUCACAUAAUUCUGUUGCAGAGCCUCCCACACCGAAGGUGGAACGAUGAGGACUGCUCAGUAAUAAUCUGUCGUGUUCUACACUACUUUUAGAGACCUAUAUUGUCAUCAGCCCCUCUCUGGGGCUUUUCCAGUGAUCACUGUUGGCCUCAUCCAGAGAGACAGGUGCCUGGCACAGACAUGCCAACGUGACCACCUUUGCUGGAGUGACGAAUUCCACAACCUCUGAUGAAACAAGAAAUGAGUCACAACUGUCUUCAAAAAAAGAAGGAAUUGAAAAAUAAAUGAUAAAACA